AAUUGUAGGCCUGCAUGGCCACAGCUGGCUUUCUGUGUGGGUGCUGGGGAUUUGGGCUUCACUCCUUGCACUGUGCAAGCACCCUUACCUGCUCACUGAGCCGUCCGUCUCCUUAGCCCCUCAGACUCUGUUCUCAGUACUCCUUCCUUAGUCCCUCAGACUCUGUUCUCAGUACUCCUUCCACAGGUUACUUGGUUGUAUUGGUACAUGGCAGGACACAGCGUGCGAAAGUUAGCCAGCUCAGUUUCCAGAAGGAAAAACAUUGUGUCUCUUUGUCUCAGUCUUUCCCUGCCUUCUCUUUUCCAAAAGAAGAGACCAGGAGAUUUGUCUUAAAGCCUGGGUUUUAUAUGGAGAUAGUUAUUUAAAUCAAGAUACAGAAAUUUCCAAACUUGGGCUGGUGAGAUGGCUCAGUGGGUAAGAGCACCCGACUGCUCUUCCGAAGGUCAGAAGUUCGAAUCCCAGCAACCACAUGGUGGCUCACAACCACCCGUAAUGAGAUCUGAUGCCCUCUUCUGGAAUGUCUGAAGACAGCUACAGUGUACUUACAUAUAAUAAAUAAAUAAAUCUUUAAAAAAAAAAAAAAAAUUUAAAAAAAAAAAAAAA
ensembl:sense_intronic Gm20274 predicted gene, 20274